GGGAGUACGGCCGCAAGGCUAAACCUCAAAGGAAUUGACGGGGGCCCGCACAAGCGGCGGAGCAUGCGGAUUAAUUCGAUGCAACGCGAAGACCCUUACCUGGGUUUGACAUAUGCCAGAAAGCGCCAGAGAUGGUGCCCCUUUUUGUCGGUAUACAGGUGGUGCAUGGCUGUCGUCAGCUCGUGUCGUGAGAUGUUGGGUUAAGUCCCGCAACGAGCGCAACCCUCGUCCUAUGUUGCCAGCACGUUAUGGUGGGGACUCAUAGGAGACUGCCGGGGUCAACUCGGAGGAAGGUGGGGAUGACGUCAAGUCAUCAUGCCCCUUAUGUCCAGGGCUUCACGCAUGCUACAAUGGCCGGUACAAAGGGCUGCGAUGCUGUAAGGCGGAGCGAAUCCCAAAAAGCCGGUCUCAGUUCGGAUUGGGGUCUGCAACUCGACCCCA
rnacentral:rRNA from 1 species